rnacentral:lncRNA from 1 species
UUUGAGACAACACACCCGUGAUUAAUGAUUUCUUCAUCCACUUGUCUCUGUGAAAGAUAAACUUUCCGUAUUUACGGGUCCUUACAACCGCUAAUUACUAUAGGACGGAGAAGAACAAUAUAGUUCUCAAGUGAAUAAGCACGGAGCAUGCAGGGAGCAGAGGUUUGUGUCGGGUUAAACAUGGAACACGCGUACCAAGUACAGAUACGUUUCGGUCAGUGGAUCAAAC